rnacentral:tRNA from 1 species
UCGGUGUCCUGCUUGGGGAAGAGCGCGCUCAGGUCGCGCCCGACCAUCCGCCGGAUCAUGUCGUCGACGCUGAG